rnacentral:lncRNA from 1 species
UGCACUCCCCAUCGCUAUAAGAUAAGAAUUAACUCUUUUUUUUUUAAUUUAAGGAAGGAAAUACUUAACUGAUCUAAUGUAUGUCCAGCCCUUGGAUACUGUAAGGAUGAAAUCAAGUGGAGAUUUGGCUGGUGGCAGCAUGCUGGGCCUUUUGGAAUAUUGACAUGGAUACAAGCUAUUGUCUGGUUCAGUGACUAUGAGAAUACAAAGGGACCUCAGCAUCUAUCUAAUUCAGCACAUGGAAAAGGAAUCCCUACUAUAACAUAUUUGAGAAAUAGUCACUCAGCAUCUGUUAGAAGACCACCAAGGAGGAGGAACUUACUACCUAUCCAGGCAGCUCAUUCUCUUUUGGGCAAACCUUUUGUUAGAACAUCAUUCUUGACUCCCAGCCACAUUAGUUUCUAUGACUUUCAUCUACUGAUCUUGAUUCUGUCCCCUGGGGCUGAACAGAAAAAGCCUAAUCCCUCUUUCAUGACAGUCCUUUGAAUACCUGAACACAGAUAUGUAUUCUCUGAAGAUUCUCUUAUCCAGACUAAAGGGCUCCUUUAAGUGACUGGUAUAUGGCAUAGACUCAAUUGCCAUUCUAGUUUUCUUCUGGCUACUUUCUUACCAAUAUUUUUUCUAGAACUACAUUACCAAGAAUUGAACACAAUAUUCCAGAUGAAGUCUAUUUUCAGUCAACUACAAAAUUAUUAUCACUUUUUUCCUGAAAUGUCCUUCUUUCUUGAUGAAGCUAAGUCAUAUCACUUUUCUAAUGUCUAUAUCAUACCUUUGACUAUAUUGACCUUCUAGUCUAAUUAAAAUGUUUUUACCUUUUUCAAACAGCUUUUUAAUUGUGUAUCUCCAACUUUAUUGUCUUCUUAAUACUUGAAGAAUAUGCUUUCAAUGCCUUUAUCAAAGACAAUU